UUGAACAACAUCUCCAAGGCACAGUAAACCAUAUGGCUGUCCUGUUCUUGGAGAUCUACCUUCCUGCAAACUUCAGCUCCUCAGGAGCAGUUGACAAUUACAGAUGGGUGUGUUAAAUCAGGGUUAGAUCAGAAUUCUGCAAGUUUUAUUGGGAUCCCAGUAGAAGACAUCAGAACACCAGAUGCUGGCCUGGACAGAUGUACCUACAGUAAACCACACCAAUCUCUCUGCUUUUGCAUAGAUGGCUGACUACUACCAUAUUCUAUGAAGGUAUUAUUAUAGUAAAACUGAGCACCUGUGACAGUGGAAUUUGUAGUUAUAAAGAAUAGUCACACAUGCGUAUCAGUACAUUUGAAGCAACAGAGAAUAUUUUUUAGGAGUUGCACUUUUUUUUGUACUCUCUCUCUUACAAACACAAAACAACAGUAAUACCAUUUGAAAUUCUCAGGUGCACAAAUCCUAUUCUGCAAUUCACAAAUUACAAAAUUUAUAUGCUCACAGUUAGGCUAAAGUUGCUGCAGUGAAUGAGGG